UUUAUAAAAAAUAAUAAAAAA
rnacentral:piRNA from 1 species